GCUCUCAUAGCUCAGUUGGUAGAGCGCAUCCUUGGUAAGGAUGAGGUCAGCAGUUCAAUUCUGCUUGAGAGCUCCA
rnacentral:tRNA from 1 species